AUGCAAUUCUUCUUUGAUCAAAGUUCUAUGUUGCAUUCGAGAUUCAUGCUACCAUUCAAAUGUAACAAGUUUCGUUUUAAUACAUGGUUCAUUCAAGACACAAAAGAUACAAUAACAUUUCAAGUGUUCAUGAGCUUAAAUUUUCAAACAUACAAGAGAAGGAUUCAAACCUUUUUACAUGGUCUAACUUCUAAACUAUUUCAUCAAAUUACAAGAGGAAUGUUUCUAAAUUACAAAGAAAAUCAAAUGAACAUUUGUCCUAAGAGAAACUAA